rnacentral:rRNA from 1 species
UACGUAGGCAGCAAGCGUUGUUCGGAAUUACUGGGCGUAAAGAGUGUGUAGGCGGUGUUCUAAGUCUGUUGUGAAAUCUCCCGGCUUAACUGGGAGGGUGCGGCGGAAACUGGAAUGCUAGAGGAUGGGAGAGGUAAGCGGAAUUCCUGGUGUAGCGGUGAAAUGCGUAGAUAUCAGGAGGAACACCUGUGGUGCAAACGGCUUUCUGGACCGUAACUGACGCUGAGACACGAAAGCGUGGGGAGCAAACAGG